UCAUAUGCUUGUCUCAAAGAUUAAGCCAUGCAUGUCUCAGUACAGGCUGAAUUAAAGUGAAACCGCGAAUGGCUCAUUAAAUCAGUUAUGGUUUCUUAGAUCGUCCCACAUUUACUUGGAUAACUGUGGUAAUUCUAGAGCUAAUACAUGCAAACGAAAUUCCUCUCAGAGAUGGGAGGAAUGCUUUUAUUAGAUCAAAACCAAUCGGUGGCGGAUGGUUCGCUGUCCGUCCAUCGUUUGUUUUGGUGACUCUGAAUAACUUUAUGCGGAUCGCAUGGUCAUCUAGCACCGGCGACGCAUCUUUCAAAUGUCUGCCUUAUCAACUGUCGAUGGUAGGUUCUGCGCCUACCAUGGUUGUAACGGGUAACGGGGAAUCAGGGUUCGAUUCCGGAGAGGGAGCCUGAGAAACAGCUACCACAUCCAAGGAAGGCAGCAGGCGCGCAAAUUACCCACUCCCGGCACGGGGAGGUAGUGACGAAAAAUAACGAUACGGGACUCAUCCGAGGCCCCGUAAUCGGAAUGAGUACACUUUAAAUCCUUUAACGAGGACCAAUUGGAGGGCAAGUCUGGUGCCAGCAGCCGCGGUAAUUCCAGCUCCAAUAGCGUAUAUUAAAGUUGUUGCGGUUAAA
rnacentral:rRNA from 1 species